rnacentral:rRNA from 1 species
UUCUUUAUGUAUUUUAUAUAAGGUAAUUUCUGCCCAAUGAUUAAUUUUAUUUAAAUGGCUGCAGUAUAUUGACUGUACAAAGGUAGCAUAAUAAUUAGUUUUUUAAUUGGAAACUUGAAUGAAAGGAUAAAUGAGAAAUUAUCUUUAUUAGUUUUAAUAUUAAAAUUUUAUUUUUUGGUUAAAAGGCUAAAUUAUGUUUUAGGGACGAUAAGACCCUAUAGAAUUUAAAAUAUAAAUUGAUUGUAUUUUUUUUAGGUUAAAUUUGUUCAUUUAAUUUAAAUUUUUAAUUGGGGUGAUUAAUAAAUAAAACUUUUUUUUCUUAAUUCAUUAAUUUAUGUUAUUAAGAUCCUUUAUAAGAUUAUAAGAUAAAUUACCUUAGGGAUAACAGCGUAAUUUUAAUAGAAAGUUCAUAUUUAAAUUGGAGUUUGCGACCUCGAUGUUGAAUUAAGAUACAAUUAGGGUGUAGAAGCUUUAAAGGUAAGUCUGUUCGACUUUUUAAAUCUUACA